rnacentral:rRNA from 1 species
GUAGGGAAUUUUCCGCAAUGGGCGAAAGCCUGACGGAGCAACGCCGCGUGAGCGAGGACGGCCUUCGGGUUGUAAAGCUCUGUUCUUGAGGAAGAAUCCCGCGGAUGUGAACAGCAUCUGCGGUUGACGGUACUCAAGGAGAAAGCCCCGGCUAACUACGUGCCAGCAGCCGCGGUAAUACGUAGGGGGCGAGCGUUAUCCGGAAUUAUUGGGCGUAAAGCGCGCGCAGGCGGCCGGUUAAGUCAGGUGUGAAAGGCUGCGGCUCAACCGCAGAGCGGCAUCUGAAACUGGUCGGCUUGAGUGCAGGAGAGGGGAGCGGAAUUCCCGGUGUAGCGGUGGAAUGCGUAGAGAUCGGGAGGAACACCAGUGGCGAAGGCGGCUCUCUGGCCUGUAACUGACGCUGAGGCGCGAAAGCGUGGGGAGCAAACAGGAUUAGAUACCCCUGUAGUCC